rnacentral:rRNA from 1 species
UACGUAGGGCGCAAGCGUUAUCCGGAAUUAUUGGGCGUAAAGAGCUCGUAGGCGGUUUGUCGCGUCUGCCGUGAAAGUCCGGGGCUCAACUCCGGAUCUGCGGUGGGUACGGGCAGACUAGAGUGAUGUAGGGGAGACUGGAAUUCCUGGUGUAGCGGUGAAAUGCGUAGAUAUCUGGAGGAACACCGGUGGCGAAGGCGGCAGUCCGUGGACCAACACGUGACGCUGAGGAGCGAAAGCCAGGGGAAGCAAACGGG